GACGAACGCUGGCGGCGUGCCUAAUACAUGCAAGUCGAGCGGACGAAUCGAAAGCUUGCUUUUGAUUCGUUAGCGGCGGACGGGUGAGUAACACGUGGGCAACCUGCCCUGUAGACGGGGAUAACACCGAGAAAUCGGUGCUAAUACCGGAUAACACGAAAUGUCGCAUGACGUUUCGUUGAAAGACGGCGCAAGCUGUCGCUACAGGAUGUGCCCGCGGCGCAGUAGCUAGUUGGGGAGGUAACGGCUCACCAAGGCGACGAUGCGUAGCCGACCUGAGGGGGUGAUCGGCCACACUGGGACUGAGACACGGCCCAGACUCCUACGGGAGGCAGCAGUAAGGAAUCUUCCGCAAUGGACGAAAGUCUGACGGAGCAACGCCGCGUGAGCGAAGAAGGCCUUCGGGUCGUAAAGCUCUGUUGUUAGGGAAGAACAAGUAACGCAGUAACUGGCGUUACCGUGACGGUACCUAACGAGAAAGCCACGGCUAACUACGUG
rnacentral:rRNA from 1 species